ACACCACUCCGCACAGUGCAAACGGGAGAGGACCCAAGGGAGUGCUGUCGUGGGACCUCCCAGGGAUUUGUACAAAUGAAGCAAUGCUCCCUGGCGUCCCAGAAAAUACCGCCUUCUUUCCUCCCAAUACAGGUCUGGGUGAAAGUGGACUGUGGCUCAGACCUGGGGCAUCCAGAACAUCUAACAACUGCACUGAAGAAGCUCAGGCCAUCUGGGGAGCCUGGACCAGUAGGCAGGACAAAUAAAGCAAGACAGGAGUUGGCGUUAUCAACCGAGGUCACACAGUUCCUGUGGUAUCUGAGCUAAAAUUUGAAUUCAGGUCUACCAGAUUCCAGAAACACUCUGCUACCUCCCAGCUAGACCAGGGUGCAUCUGGGUAGCAGACCACAGCAUCCACUACAGGCCUGUGGUUCCUGGUCUGUAGCUACCAACAUCACCAGAAUACCUGUUCACUCUUCCUCUUCAGGCUGUGGUGAGGAACUGAGGUUUAUUGACCCAGAGAAAGAAAUAAGAAGAAAGAAAAGGGGGUAAAUUUCUGAAAAAGAAAACAUCCCAAGUUUUUCUGUCCAGUGUAUGUGCAAUCUUCAGCAGAUCCUGUCAAGAGCUUGGGCCUCCCCCCCCUCAGAGGUGGACUCCCCUGCUCACUGCCCCCGGGGCCAGGGCUGAGUAGCUGAGUAGGCUGGACUGUGUGGGUCAGAAGAAUGACCCCGUGAAGGACUUGAGCCAUCUCUUCCUCCCUUCUUCCCUCACUAAGACAUGGGCCUGUGGCUUAGUUGGGGGAUUAGACCAGAGAAGACAAGAAAAGCCACCUUAGGCAACUGCCUUUCACAGUAGCAAGAGGAGGUUGUGAGGAAAAAGUUGAAGCCCAAGGGAAAAUCUGAGACAUGAUUUAAAGAGGCCACAAACACCUUCUUAUGGAGAAUCAGACAAGGGAAAGCAGAUAAAACUAAGAAUAUCUUUUAAACUUUUCUAAGAAGAUUUCCCCCCCAUGCAGCUAGUAAACAUCUCUUUAGAGAAUGUGUGUGGUCACAACGUUGAAGGGCUGAGCAGAUUGCCUCCCUGCCCCCAGAUGGUUUUAAAUGGCAGCAGAUAGGAGGAGGGGCACGUCUCCACUCACCACCCACCCCGCAGCCUCCUCCCCCCUCCCUCCCCCCCACCCCACCCCCCACAGCUGCACUUCCUCUGUUGCUAGUUCUGGAAGAGUGAGGGUGGCUUUUCAGACCCAGGGAUACUGACCCAGGAAUGCUGAUCCUCAGGAAGGAGAGGUUUGUAGUUUCCCCUAAAGGCCGAAGCGACCCCAUCGUCCCCCCUUGCUGCUCUGAACCACUCAGAAAUGCUAAAACAACACACAUGCGGGUUCCUGGCCAACAACAGACUACAAGUGAGCAGAGAGAGAGAAAACAAAUCCAGUCACAGGAGAGAGGAAAAUGGUCUCUCCUCCCAGAAACACUCACCAGAAAGAUAGGCAGCCCUGUAUACAUGAAGCUAAUUCACUUCACUGUACAGUUGGAAACGAACAUAACAUUGUCAAGCAAUUAUACUCCAAUAAAAAAAUUUUUUUAAAAAGAAAGAUAGGCAGCCCUGCUCUGCACCCCCAGCGCUCAGUAAAACACGGGUGUCCUGGGACUUUGGGGGUUGCAGGGCCCAAGUCAAGAUCUAAUCAGUUUUUCUUACUCCUUGAGCCAAGGUUAUGAGUAUAUGCAUUUAUCCUGAUCGUAGCUACAGCAUCUGGCUGAGUCCACACAGACUGUAGAGCACUAGACCAGCACUGAAAAUCAUGAGAACGUGGAGGCCAUGGGGGCCCGUUCACGAUACAUUCUUAAUUUAAAAUAGGUUCACAGUACAUUGCUAACAUAAAGAAAACGGUAUAUUGAGUAUGAUCCCAAACAGAAAGAAAAUGGCAUGUUAGGCAGGACCCCAACAUUUUGAGAAACAACGUAAAGAAAUUCCAUCUGCCCAGACCCGAGUGCCAGGUACAAAUAUUCAGUCUUUCUCUCAGUGAUGGGAUUAUUUUCUUUAUACUUAUCUGUGUUUUCUGAUUUUUUUCCCUACCCUGAUCAAAUGUUUCCACUGAAAUCUGAGAAAUAAAACACAAGAAGAGUGUGGUGAGAUGAGCUGUUUCCGUGGACGUGAGUACUUGUCCACAAAUGUCCAUUCACACAUGUACAUGGUAGGAAUACACGUGUGUGCACGUGUGCGUGUGUUCCAAAGCUCCGGGCUCCUCCUUCUAUUUCAACCAGGAUCCUUUCUGUCUCUGGUGAGUUCUUAGGUCCUGUGUGACCUCAGAUCACAUUUCUGGAGAGACAGUCUCCUAGUACUGCUGCCAAGCAAGGUAGCCAGUAUCUUCCACCAAGGUUUCCGGCAGGUGGCCACUCCCAGUUCCACGCCUCGAAUAAGGCCACCAGGGACCACGCCUUUGUUCUCCACCGUCACUCUCUGCGGGUGGAGAGAGGGGAGAAGGGGAGGAGCAGGAUACUUUGCUGACCUGCAGCUUUGCUCAAAUGCUGUUUGACAGAAGGGUUCACAGAUGGUGUGGCAUCCUGUAGCAUUUAGAGAGAACACCUCCAGGGAGCUUGCCGCCAACACUGAUGAGCUCCAGGAUACGAGAGAGGAGAGACUCUGCCAGCCAAGCUCCCUGGGGCUGUUGGCAUCCAGCUGAGGGUGGAAACGGACUAACAGCCUGAUCCUGCAGACUUAGGUUUCAUCCUCACUUUCAGAGGUCUGGAUCUCUUCUGACAUGAACUACUUCCUUUCCUCAAAGGCUGCUGCCAUCCCUUUCGUCUAAGCAUGUUAAAAGUCUUAAAUGCAACAAUGCACUAGGCCAGGGCUGUUCGCCUGCACCCUUUUGCUCUGUGUCCUGGUGGCACGGCUCCCAUUCUAUGGUCAUUCACUUUGUAAACACCCGUAACUUCGGAGCUACCAGGGCGCUGUCUUUGGGGUCUUAACUCCAAGCAUCACCACAUACCUGUACAUGAUUAAUAAGCAGAGUUUGGCUAAUAAGUAACAUUCAGCUUUGAUAUUAAUAACAGAUUUUUUCAAGCAAGACACAGCUGGUGACAAUUUAGUGACACAGGGUCACCUUAGUGUUUUUGAGCAUUCGUUUGGAGGAGAGACUGAAUGCUGCCAGAUGUCACCAAGCUUAAAAAAAAACAACCACAAAAAAUGUAUCCAGGGUCUGAGCGAGCAGCCUGGAGGAUGCGCGCGUGCACACACACGGCAAGGGGUUCCUGUUCUUUUCAAUGUCACAUCUGUUGUUACCUCCCGAGACCCUGUAGGUCCAUCUCAUGGACUGCAUCUCUCCCCAUCGCGAGAUCAAGCACAUUUUUCUGAACUGAAAAUCAGUGUUCUCUGUUUGGCCAUGAGUGAGAAGUGAAGAAUGGUCUGGAAAAGUUGGGGGAAAUGUGUUUCCCAGUAGUGAGGCAUCCAGCAGCAUUCCCCACUGGCCACAUUUGUUCAGCCGUAUUGAAUAACGUUCUCAGUGCUCAGUCCUUCCAGAGACUGGAGUUACGAAGAAGAAAACUCUCUGUCCUUGUGAAGCUUUGCUCCUGUGUGAAGGUGCUUUGAGUGACUUGUACAUGUUACAAGUAGAUGUUUGACCUUACUUAGCUACUGUCAGAGCUGAUGCUUCCCCCAUUGAAUCCCUUCCCAGCACAGAUAUCUCUUCUUUUUUUCUUUUUCCUAGCUCUUGUCUCAGUAGGGACUGGAGUUCUUGCUCUGAGUUCCUUUGGCCAGAGAAAGUGAUCCUUUGCUUGCUUUCUCCAAACCAUACUCUUGAGUUCAGUUCAACGGGAAAUCUCUCCUGGCUUCGAUGUUCACAUAACACCUUCCUCAAGUCAGGCCACACCUCCUUCUUCCAUCCCUCAAACUGGCUCUUCCCUCGCUCAUGGACAGGAUGCUUCUCAAGAACCUCUUCUUCAUCUUCUAAUUGUUCUCAGUGCGACAGUAGUUUUGCAACCAUCUUCCAAGUUUCUCCUUUUGAUGACCUCCUUAUCAUAAAUGAAGAUCCAGAAAUGUCUUUCUGUAUAUUAAAUACAUAAUAGAGAGAAAGUCCUGUCUUCAGCGAAA